rnacentral:rRNA from 1 species
CACGGAGUUAGCCGAUCCUUAUUCUUCUGGUACAUUCAGUUCCGUAUACAUACGGAAGUUUAUUCCCAGAUAAAAGCAGUUUACGACCCAGAGGGCUGUCUUCCUGCACGCGGCAUGGCUGGUUCAGAGUUGCCUCCAUCGACCAAUAUUCCUUACUGCUGCCUCCCGUAGGAGUCUGGUCCGUGUCUCAGUACCAGUGUGGGGGGUCAUCCUCUCAGAUCCCCUAGACAUCGCGGUCUUGGUGGGCCGUUACCCCGCCAACUAACUAAUGUCACGCAUGCCCAUCUUGAUCCUAUAAAUAUUUGAACAUUGGAUAAUGCUAUCCUGUUGUUUUUAUGUCGGUGUUAAUCGGUAUUUCUCCGGGCUAUCCCCUGAUCAAGGUAGGUUGCAUACGCGUUACGCACCCGUGCGCACUGUCAUAUCCAGCAAGCUGGAUAAUCUCGUUCGACUUGCAUGUAUUAGCUGCCGUCUACGUCGUU